rnacentral:lncRNA from 1 species
GUUCGUGUCUCAGGAGCCCUUCUCGGCCAGCAAGAAGGACAAGAAGUCUUACGGAAAGAUGAGCUCCUGCAUCUUGGAGGAAGGUGUUAUGGUCGUGCAUUAAAAUUGAUGUCUACAUCUAAUACAUGGUGUGAUCUUGGAAUUAAUUAUUACCGUCAAGCACAGCAUCUAGCAGAAACAGGCAGCAGCAUGAAUGAUCUUACUGAGUUACUGGAGAAAUCUUUGCAUUGUCUGAAAAAGGCAGUGAGGCUGGACAGUAAUAAUCACUUAUACUGGAACGCUCUUGGUGUGGUUACAUGUUACCAUGGAGUUGGAAAUUAUGCCCUUGCUCAGCACUGUUUCAUCAAAUCAAUCCAGGCAGAACAAAUUAACGCUGCUGCAUGGACCAACUUAGGAGUGUUAUACCUUGCGACUGAAAACAUUGAGCAAGCCCAUGAAGCGUUCCAAAUGGCUCAGUCCCUUGAUCCAUCUUAUUUAUUGUGCUGGAUUGGACAGGCUCUUAUUGCAGAGAGAAUUGGAAGUUAUGAAACAAUGGAUCUCUUUAGGCAUACCACAGAGCUCAGUAUGCAUGUAAGAAU